GGGAGGCAGCAGUGAGGAAUAUUGGUCAAUGGGCGCGAGCCUGAACCAGCCAAGUAGCGUGCAGGAUGACGGCCCUAUGGGUUGUAAACUGCUUUUAUGCGGGGAUAAAGUCGGCUACGUGUAGCCGUUUGUAGGUACCGCAUGAAUAAGGACCGGCUAAUUCCGUGCCAGCAGCCGCGGUAAU
rnacentral:rRNA from 1 species